AUUGAACGCUGGCGGCAGGCCUAACACAUGCAAGUCGAACGAGUGGCGGACGGGUGAGUAAUGUCUGGGAAACUGCCUGAUGGAGGGGGAUAACUACUGGAAACGGUAGCUAAUACCGUAUACUGAUGGAUGGACCCGCGGUGCAUUAGCUAGUUGGUGAGGUAACGGCUCACCAAGGCCACGAUGCAUAGCCGACCUGAGAGGGUGAUCGGCCACACUGGAACUGAGACACGGUCCAGACUCCUACGGGAGGCAGCAGUGGGGAAUAUUGGACAAUGGGCGAAAGCCUGAUCCAGCCAUGCCGCGUGUGUGAAGAAGGUCUUCGGAUUGUAAAGCACUUUAAGUUGGGAGGCGUUACCAACAGAAUAAGCACCGGCUAACUUCGUGCCAGCAGCCGCGGUAAUAC
rnacentral:rRNA from 1 species